ACGUAGGGUGCGAGCGUUGUCCGGAAUUAUUGGGCGUAAAGGGCUCGUAGGCGGUUUGUCGCGUCGGGAGUGAAAACCAGGUGCUUAACACCUGGCUUGCUUUCGAUACGGGCAGACUAGAGGUAUUCAGGGGAGAACGGAAUUCCUGGUGUAGCGGUGAAAUGCAUAGAUAUCGUCCAGAACACCGAUAGUGAAGACAGCUUACCAGAGUGCAACUGACGCUGAGGCACGAAAGUGUGGGGAUCAAACAGGA
rnacentral:rRNA from 1 species